CUUGUUUACCAGCCACUCCAGGUGGACAGCAGUCAGACGGCUUAUCUUCUGUUCUACAAGAGAAACAAACCCAGUGGAGGUCGGCCACCUGCUUCCCGUGG